rnacentral:rRNA from 1 species
GAUGAACGUUGGCGGCGUGCCUAAUACAUGCAAGUCGAACGGAGAUUGUAGCAAUACGGUCUCAGUGGCGAACGGGUGAGUAACGCGUUGGUGACCUGCCCCGAAGUGUGGAAUAACAGAUCGAAAGAGCUGCUAAUACCGCAUAAUAUCCAGGAGAUUAGAUGCUUCUGGAUUAAAGGAUUUAUCCGCUUCGGGAGGGGCCUGCGUCCCAUCAGCUAGUUGGUAAGGUAAAGGCUUACCAAGGCGAUGACGGGUAGGGGACCUGAGAGGGUGGCCCCCCACAAUGGAACUGAAACACGGUCCAUACACCUACGGGUGGCAGCAGUAGGGAAUAUUAGUAAUGGGCGAAAGCCUGAACUAGCAACGCCGCGUGUGCGAAGAAGGCCUUCGGGUUGUAAAGCACUUUUUGAGAGGAUGAGGAAGGACGGUACUCUCAGAAUAAGUCUCGGCUAACUACGUGCCAGCAGCCGGGUAAACUAGUCUACG